CCGUUUCAAACCAAAUAGUUGGGGGUCUUGUCUGGUGGCGGCUGCUGRCUUUAUUGUUGGCGGCUGCUGCUGGRYGAGCCCUAUCAUGGCGAGCGUUUGGGCUUCGGCCUGAGCUAGUAGCUUUUCUUUUAAACCCAUUCCUUAAUACUGAUUAUACUGUGGGGACGAAAGUCCUUGCUUUUAACUAGAUAGCAACUUUCAGCAGUGGAUGUCUAGGCUCGCACAUCGAUGAAGAACGCUGCGAACUGCGAUACGUAAUGCGAAUUGCAGGAUUCAGUGAGUCAUCGAAAUUUUGAACGCAUAUUGCACUUCCGGGUUAGUCCUGGGAGUAUGCCUGUAUCAGUGUCCGUACAUCAAACUUGGCUUUCUUCCUUCCGUGUAGUCGGUGGAGGAGAUGCCAGAUGUGAAGUGUCUUGCGGCUGGUUUUCGGACCGACUGCGAGUCCUUUUAAAUGUACUGAACUGUACUUCUCUUUGCUCGAAAAGCGUGGCGUUGCUGGUUGUGGAGGCUGCUAUUGUAGCAAGUUGGCGACCGGUUUGUCUGCUGCGGCGUUAAUGGAAGAGUGU
rnacentral:sRNA from 1 species